GGAUGAACGCUCGGCGGGCGGUGCCUAACACAGUGCAAGUCGAACGGACAUUUUUGGGAAAGUUCGUUCGGAAACGUGGAAUCUAAAAUGUUAGUGGCGGACGGGUGAGUAACGCGUGAGGAACCUGCCUCGGAGUGGGGGAAUAACAGUUGGAAACAGCUGCUAAUACCGCAUGAUGCAACGGAAUCGCAUGACUCUGUUGCCAAAGAUUUAUCGCUCUGAGAUGGACUCGCGUCCGAUUAGCUAGAUGGUGAGGUAACGGCCCACCAUGGCGACGAUCGGUAGCCGGACUGAGAGGUUGAUCGGCCACAUUGGGACUGAGACACGGCCCAG
rnacentral:rRNA from 1 species